AUCCGGGCAAAAAAUAAUCACCGACGCGAUGUGAAUAUAUAAAACACAAGUAUACAACGUAUAUACAAUAGCACGUACUUAUACAUGUAAGUAUAGAUAGCGGAUUGAUAUGCACUUAAAUCUACAAAAUAAACGCUUAAAAACGCUAAAAGAAAUAUGUAAAAGAGCAAUAACGAUAUAGAGAGGUUUAAAAUUACCCCCUCCC